UAUUCUGAAAAAGCUCCAGGGGCCUGAGGAAUGCGGUGCAAAUCCGCAGCGGUCCCGCCACUGUAACCGGGGAUGGAUGCAGCAGGUCGGUGUCAAGCCGACAGCCAUUGCGGCAUAAAGCCGCGAGAAGGCGCUGCAUUUCAGAUGAUCCGGAAGCCAGGAUACCGCUCUGGGGCGAGCCCGAUAUG
rnacentral:misc_RNA from 1 species